AAGAUAUGUUGAAGUUCUAACCCCCAGCACCUCAGAAUGUGACCUUAUUUGGAGACGGUUUCAUUCCAGAUGCAAUUAAUUAUGCUAAAUUGCAGUCUAGGACACUAAUACAAAUGUCUAAUUAUAGAACCAUGUCCAGAAUUUUUUUCUUUCAUCUUCCAGGAGUUUUUCAUCUUCCCACACUGAAGCUCUGUACCCAUUAAACAAUACCUCCCUCCCCAUUGCCAAAACCCUAGAAGAAAACCUAGGCAUUACCAUUCAGGACAUAGGCACGGGCAAGGACUUCAUGUCUAAAACACCAAAAGCAAUGGCAACAAAAGACAAAAUUGACAAAUGGGAUCUAAUUAAACUAAAGAGCUUCUGCACAGCAAAAGAAACUACCAUCAGAGUGAACAAGCAACCCACAAAAUGGGAGAAAAUUUUCGCAACCUACU
rnacentral:lncRNA from 1 species